rnacentral:rRNA from 1 species
CGCGUAGGCGGCGGAGCGUGUCGGAUGUGAAAUCCCCGGGCCCAACCCCGGGAAGUGCGUCCGAAACUGCCCCGCUGGAGGACGGAAGAGGGAAUCGGAAUAUAGGGUGUAGCGGUGAAAUGCGUUGAUAUCCUAUAGAACACCGGAUGCGAAGGCGGAUUCCUGGUACGUAUCUGACGCUGAGGCGCGAAAGUCGGGGGAGCAAACA